UACGUAGGGGGCAAGCGUUGUCCGGAUUUAUUGGGCGUAAAGAGCGUGUAGGCGGCCAGAUAGGUCCGUUGUGAAAACUGGAGGCUUAACCUCCAGCUGUCGAUGGAAACCAUCUGGCUAGAGUCCGGAAGAGGAGAGUGGAAUUCCUGGUGUAGCGGUGAAAUGCGCAGAUAUCAGGAAGAACACCCGUGGCGAAGGCGGCUCUCUGGGACGUGACUGACGCUGAGACGCGAAAGCGUGGGGAGCGAACAGG
rnacentral:rRNA from 1 species